ensembl:lncRNA
UAAACAGUAGCCUAUCAAAAAUGUAAUUGGUCUAGGAUGUAAAUAACAUCGAUUGAAGAGUCGCAUGUCCAGCGCUGAAGUCCAGAUGAAGCGCAGGUAGUUCAUUCAUGGAUGUGUUGUGUACUGAUGGGAAGGUUUGAAGCUCGUGUCUAUGCCUCUGCCGUAGCUCUCUUGCUGCCUGGGACGGAUGGGAGUCGCUGCUGACACGAUGACACGCCCUCUUUUCAUGGCCAUCAUGGUUACGUCAUGGAUGUGUAUUCAGGGUCGGUGCUAUUCUAGCGGUUUGGAGAUUGCAGUGAACUGCUCUUAUAUACCUGAUGGCAAAAGUGUUACCUGCACUGUUGAUUACUCAGGCGUAGAGGAACCUGAGAAAUGUCGGGUUAACGCAAG